GGGGACUCCCCGCUGCUGUCUCUUCCCAAAAAUGAACCAAAGCAUCAUCUUAGCACAGAGAACAUGCCAGUUGCAGCUGAAAGCCUCACGGUUGUUCUGUGUCGCCCAGGAAGACCCCUGGGGCCUGCACAUGGACACGGGCCCUGAGGCUUUCCUGUCCCGUCCAGCCUCCUUCCUCUCCCUCUGUGCUUCCUCCUGCGACCACUGGCAUGGCCUCUCUUCCCGGCCCUGGGGCUGUGGCACGGGCUGCUCCCCUGCCUGGAAUCCUUUCCCACAGGUGUUAUCUCUGCAGAGACCCUGCCCACCAUCCUGCACCACACCCCACCCUCUGCUCACGCUGAUUGGAGGCGCUUUUCCUGCACUGGUUUUCCUCGGCGCACCAGCCCCGUCUGGUAUGAAGCCCAUGCUGCCCCAGGGCAGUGGUUCUGUCUGUUUCGGUGCGUGGAGCCCUGUCUGGCACAGAGCAUGAACUCACAUGACAACAAACUGAAACAGAACUGAAUACAAUCACUGCACAUGUGUCGCUUAGAAAUGGGGGGAAAUGAGGAAGAAACAGGAGAUCACCACAGGCCAAUAUAGAUGGGCACAGACAGCAGCCACACAGGUGGGAUCUGGAGAGAAUGAGGAUCCUGGAGUCACCUGGAGCGGAUCAAGGCCUGGCUUCAUCAGAAACCUCUCCCAUCUGUCCUCUAAAGUCACAACCUUUGUGGAUGCUGUAACAAGUGGGUGUGAAUGACAGAAAGAGGCUGUUUCCAUAUCAGUCCCUGAGCUGCCAUAUGCCUAACAGAGUGGUGGAUGUUACUGGCAUUAGUAUUUCCUGGGUGGUGUUAGAAGAUCCAGGCCGAAAGGAGAAACCAGACAAUUUGGCAAGACACAGAUCAAACCAGGAGCCAGAGCAAGUCCCUCUCAUUGUUUCAAGGCAAGAACUCAGCCACCACUGUCCUCCUCUGCAUCCUCAUGCAGGACGGUUGAAACUGACCAGAUGAAGCUCAGGAGAUGGAAAGAAGUCAUGAGAGCCAAGCCUCUAAAGCCCUGCUAGAUACUCUGGGCAUGAGUCCCCAACCACUCACUUAGGUGACCCCUCCUACCAAACCACAGGCAUGCAUAGAUAUGGGGAACCCUCCUCUCUGGGGUCAAAGCGCUAUGGGCUACUCUCCACAUAAACAAUGUAGUAAUAUUUCCAUUUUACAUAGAAAAAAAACGAAAGUCAUGAACUGUUAUACUCUGAUUAGA